UACGAAGGGGGGCUAGCGUUGCUCGGAAUCACUGGGCGUAAAGCGCGCGUAGGCGGACCUGCAAGUCGGGGGUGAAAGCCCGAGGCUCAACCUCGGAACUGCCUUCGAUACUGCGGGUCUCGAGUCCGGGAGAGGUGAGUGGAAUUCCUAGUGUAGAGGUGAAAUUCGUAGAUAUUAGGAAGAACACCAGUGGCGAAGGCGGCUCACUGGCCCGGUACUGACGCUGAGGCGCGAAAGCGUGGGGAGCAAACAGG
rnacentral:rRNA from 1 species